rnacentral:rRNA from 1 species
GACGAACGCUGGCGGCGUGCCUAACACAUGCAAGUCGAACGGAACUGUUUUGAAAGAUUUCUUCGGAAUGAAUUUGAUUUAGUUUAGUGGCGGACGGGUGAGUAACGCGUGAGUAACCUGCCUUCAAGAGAGGAAUAACAUUCUGAAAAGAAUGCUAAUACCGCAUGACAUAUCGGAACCACAUGGUUUUGAUAUCAAAGAUUUUAUCGCUUGAAGAUGGACUCGCGUCCGAUUAGUUAGUUGGUGAGGUAACGGCUCACCAAGACCGCGAUCGGUAGCCGGACUGAGAGGUUGAACGGCCACAUUGGGACUGAGACACGGCCCAGACUCCUACGGGAGGCAGCAGUGGGGGAUAUUGCGCAAUGGGGGCAACCCUGACGCAGCAACGCCGCGUGAAGGAUGAAGGUUUUCGGAUUGUAAACUUCUUUUAUUAAGGACGAAAAUGACGGUACUUAAUGAAUAAGCUCCGGCUAACUACGUG